rnacentral:lncRNA from 1 species
GAUCGCGCGAGUCGACUCCAACCCACCAACGGACACAUUGUCAGACUGUACAGAGUGUGCAGAACGGGCAGAAAAAGCUCUCUAACGGCUAGUUUCCGUGGGGGUUGGUUUAAAUAGCCACAGAGGACUGUAGCAAGAAAGAGAACAACCAUUCCACUCCAAGUAAUCAAGCUUUCAAUCUCUGCAACUUGUUCUUCAACGAAAAAGAGGGAAGAGCAGCAUUAACUGCAUCCACCUACUUCUUCCCAACAUUGAAAGAGCCUUCUCCUGCAUUCAAGUCGACUACACAUUCAAGAGGAGACCCGAAGUUCAAGAAGCUCUUCCUCUUCUCCAACUUAAAAGCGUUUGAGGGCUCUUAACUUCGUUAUUGUUCAUAUUGCCAUUUAUCUGCUUUUGAGAAGCUGUAUUUUUCUGUUUGUCUCUUUUAUCUACACCUUUGUCUUUGCUUGGUUCAAUCGGGGCAUUGAAUCAAGAGUAUUGAGGUUGGUUGGUGAGCCGAGUGUAAAACCAACGUGUAAGGGUUCGAUUGUGAUCCCGGGAAAACAAUCGGGGUUGGUUCUAGUCGGUGAGCCUGGAAAAACCGACCGAGUUCGUUGUGAGCUCGUAAAACAACAAGUUUGGUUGUGAGCUUGGAAAACAACCGACUGUAAUCC